rnacentral:rRNA from 1 species
GUGGGGAAUAUUGGACAAUGGGGGGAACCCUGAUCCAGCCAUGCCGCGUGUGUGAAGAAGGCCUUUUGGUUGUAAAGCACUUUAAGCGAGGAGGAGGCUACCGAGAUUAAUACUCUUGGAUAGUGGACGUUACUCGCAGAAUAAGCACCGGCUAACUCUGUGCCAGCAGCCGCGGUAAUACAGAGGGUGCAAGCGUUAAUCGGAUUUACUGGGCGUAAAGCGCGCGUAGGUGGCCAAUUAAGUCAAAUGUGAAAUCCCCGAGCUUAACUUGGGAAUUGCAUUCGAUACUGGUUGGCUAGAGUAUGGGAGAGGAUGGUAGAAUUCCAGGUGUAGCGGUGAAAUGCGUAGAGAUCUGGAGGAAUACCGAUGGCGAAGGCAGCCAUCUGGCCUAAUACUGACGCUGAGGUACGAAAGCAUGGGGAGCAAACAGGAUUAGAAACCCGUGUAGUCC